UCACAUUGACUUCUGUUAAAUCGAUCAUAGUCUCAAAUUACGGAGAAAAACGUGUAACAUGUUCUCUUGACCGUUGCCUCAAUUGCUUUGAAGAGCAAGAGGUUGGUGCUAAGUCUUGAACCCUUUGCCGAGCUUACACCACCAAAGCUUGGUGGGGUUGGCUCCUCUUAUCAAUCCAUGCCUUACACUAAUUCUUACAUGGAUGGUCGCAAUGGCAUGUAAAAGUGACAUACAUAUGGUGCACCGCCAUUCCCUCUUUCAUGCAUCAAUAUCCGUAAAAUAGAAUUCUUUCAUGGCCAUUUGUGCGUCA
rnacentral:lncRNA from 1 species